rnacentral:lncRNA from 1 species
UUUAAGUAUAUGAAAAUGCAAGCAUGACACAUGAAAAUUAAGGCAUGCUACGAAUGCAGUAACUAGGUGGAAAUUAUAACCACAAAAAUCCUAUAGUAGAAAUAAAAAAAGUCUCAAAUUAGUGUCCAUAGCAUUAUCCUUGAGAAACUAGAAAAGCAAAUUGAACCCAAAUUAAUCAGAGAAAGAAAACAAUAAUAAAGGCAGAAAUCAAUGAAAUAGAAAACAGUAAAAACAAUAAUGAAAUCAAUGUAACAGCAAUUCUGUGAAAUAAUCAAUAAAAUGGAUAAACCUCUAUCUAGCCAGGCUAAACAGGAUAUGAAGAAGGAAGACACAAAUUAUCCAUACCAGGAUUGAGAGAGGUGGCAUCAAUACAAAUUCUACAAGCUAUUAAAAGGAUAAUAAAAGAAUAUUCUUAAUAACUUUAUGGCCAUAAAUUCAACAACUUAGAUGAAAUGGACAAAUUUCUUGAAAGACACAAACUCUCAAUACUCGUACAAUAAAUAAAGUCUUCUCUAUGUUAAAAAAUAUUCUGAAGAGUACUAUAUCCAUUCAUUGUAUUUAUAAUUGCAAACUUUUCCACAAACUCCAGGCUCCCAUCACUUCAUUGGUGAAUUCUUCUAGACGUUUAAAGAAGAAAUAAUACCUAAACAAAUGUUUCCAGAAAAUUUAAAAGAAGUUAAUACUUAGUCAACACAUUUUCUGAAGCCAGCAUUACCUCAAUUCCCAAACCCAAAGACACCACAAGAAAAAAAUAACUACAGACUAAUAGCUUUCAUGAAUAUAAGUGUAAGCAAUUCUUAAUGAAAACUUAACAAUUAAACAUAGUAUUAUGUAAAAAUAUGACAGCAUAACAAUAUGGAGUUUAUCUCAGGAAUUCGAGGGUAGUUUUAUAUUCAAAAAUCAGUCAAUAUAAUCAAUAUGUCAACAAACUAAAGAAAAACAUAUGAUCACUACAGUAGAUACAGCAAAAGCACUUAACACAAUCUCAAAUUCACAGCUGAUAUAACAUGUUCAGAGAAUGAAAAGACAAAGCAAAGAUUAGGAGUGCUGAUUGGUGCAUUUACAAACCUUGAGCUAAAUACAGAAUGCCGACUGGUGCAUUCACAAUCCCUUGGCUAGACAUAAAGAUUCUCCAAGUCCCCACCAGAUUAGCUAGACACAGAGCGCUGAUUAGUGCAUUUACAAACCUUGAGCUAGACACAGAGUGCUGGUUGGUGCAUUUACACACCUUGAGCUAGAUACAGAGUGCCGAUUGGUGCAUUCACAAUCCCUUAGCUAGACAUAAAGAUUCUCCAAGUCCCCACUAGACUCAGGAGCCCAGCUGGCUUCACCCAGUGGAUCUCGCACCGGACCACAGGUGGAACUGACCUGCCAGUCGCGCGCCGUGCGCCGGCACUCCUCAGCCAUUGGGCGGUGGAUGGGACCGGGUGCCGCGGAGCAGGGCGCGGCGCUCCUCGGGAAGACUCAGGCGGCGCAGGAGCCCACGGCCGGGGUGGGGAGACUCAGGCAUGGCAGGCUGCAUAUCCGGAGCUCUGCCCCCGGGGGAGGCAGCUAAGGCCCGGCGAGAAAUCGAGCGCAGCGCCAGUGGGCCAGCACUGCUGGGGGACCCGGCGCACCCUCCGCAGCUGCUGGCCCAGGUGCUGAGCCCCUCACUGCCCGGGGCUUGCGGGCGGGCCAGCUGCUCCGAGUGAGGGGCCGUCGAGACCACGCCCACCCGGAACUCGCGCUGGCGCGCAAGCGCAGUGUGCAGCCCCGGUUCCCGCCCGCGCCUCUCCCUCCACACCUCCCCGCAGGCUGAGGGAGCCGGCUCCGGCCUCGGCCAUCCCAGGAAGGGGCUCCCACAGUGCAGCGGCGGGCUGAGGGGCUUCUCAAGUGCGGCCAGAGUGGGCGCCGAGGCCGAGGAGGCGCCAAGAGUGAGCGAGGGCUGCGAGGGCUGCCACCACGAUGUCACCUCUCAGUUCUAGAUACCACCUUUUUUUGGAACCCAAGGGUUAUGAAUGACCCUUAUCAUACUGACACUUUCAGACUGUACUCCUCCCUACCCUGAAUACAAGAGACUCUUAAUAGUGAAGCAGGAAUAUCAUCACCUUCAUUCAGCAUGAAGAAUUUACAAAAGAUGGAUCUUUGUCCUCUGUGACUCUUACAAUUAAGGGUUCUCUUAUAAAAGGGAGGAGGGAAAUAUCAGAAGUGUUUGAACCAGAGCAACUCCAUCUUGAAUAUGGGCUGGGUUAAAUAAGGCUAAGACCUCCUGGGCUGCAUUCCCAGUAAGUUAAGGAAUUCUUAGUCUCAGGAUGAGAUAGGAGGUUGGCACAAGAUACAGGUCAUAAAGACCUUGCUGAUAAAACAGAUUGCAGUAAAGAAGCUGGCUAAAACCCACCAAAACAAAGAUGGCGAUGAGAGUGACCUAUGGUCAUUCUCACUGCUACACUCCCACCAGCGCAAUGACAGUGUACAAAUGCCAUGACAAUGUCAGGAAGUUACUCUAUAUGGUUUAAAAAGGGGAGGCAUGAAUAAUUCACACCUUGUUUAGCAUAUAUUUAAGAAAUAACCAUAAAAAUGGGCAACUAACUGUCCUCAGGACUGUUCUGCUGGAGUAGCCAUUCUUUUGUUUCUUGCUUCUCUUAUAAACUUGUCUUCACUUAAAAAAAGGAAAUCAGAGACAACAUAAACAAAUAAAAAAACAUUUCAUGCUUAUGGAUAGGAAGAAUCAGAAUUGUUAAAAUGGCCACAUUGCCCAAAGCAAUUUACAGAUUCAGUGAUAAUUCUAUCAAACUGCCAAUGCCUUUAUUCACCAAAUUAGAAGAAAUUAUUCUAAAAUUCAUAUGGAACUAAAAAAAGAACCUGAAUCACCAGAGCAAUCCUAAGCAAAAAGAACAAAGCUGGAGGCAUCACACUACCCAACUUCAAACUAUGCUGCAGGGCUACAGUAACCAAAACAGCAUAGUACCAUUACAAAAACAGACGCAUAAACCAAUGGAACAGACUAGAGAAUCCAGAAAUAUAGCCAGACACCCACAACCACCAGAGCUUUGACAAAGUCAAUAAUAACAAACUAUGGGGAGAGGACUCCCUAGGCAAUAAAUGGUGAUGGCAUAACUGGCUAGCCAGAUGCAGAAGGUUGAAACUGGACCCCUUCCUUUUAUCAUAUACAAAAAUUAACUCAAGAUGGAUUAGAGACUUAAAUGUAAGAACUGAAACAAUAAAACCCCUAAAAGAAAACCUAGGAAAUACCAUUUUGGACAUUGGCCUUGGGAAGUAAUUUAUGAUUGAGUCCCCAAAAGCAAUUGCAACAAAAAUGAAAAUUGACAAGCAGGACCUAAUUAAACAAAAGAGCUUCUGCACAGCAAAAGAAACUAUCAACAGAGUAAACAGACAACAUACAAAAUGUGACAAAAUAUUCACAAACUAUGAAUCUAACAAAGGUAUAAUAUCCCGAAUCUAUAAAAAACUUAAUUCAACAAACAGAAAUAGAAAAAAACGCCCUUUAAAAAUGUCCAAAGGACAUGAACAGAGACACUUCUAUAAAAGAAGACAUGCACAUGGGCAACAAAUAUAAGAAUGAAAAUCAUCACUAAUUAGAGAAAUGCAAAUUAAAACCACAGUAAGAUUCCAUCUCAUGCCAGUCAGAAUGACUAUCAUUAAAAAGUCAAAAAACAGAUGAUGGCAUGCUUACAGAAGAAAAGGAAUACAUAUACACUGCUGGUAAGAAUGUAAAUUAAUUCAGCUACUGUGUAAAGCAGUGUGGAUGUAUCUCAAAGAACUUAAAAAAGAACUGCCAUUUGACCCAGCUAUUCCACUACUGUGUACACACUCAAAGAAAAAUAAAUUGUUCUGAAAAGAUGCAUGCACUCAUAUGUUUAUUGCAGCACUAGUAACAAUAGCAAAGAUACGGAAUCAACCAAGAUGCCCAUCAGCAGUGGACUGGAUAAAGAAAAUGUGGCCAUAGAACUCUACACAGCCACAAAAGAAUGAAACCAUGUCCUUUGCAGCAACAUGGGAUCAGCUGGAGGGCAUUAUCCUAAGUGAACUAACACAGGAACAGAAAACCAAAUACUGCAUGUUCUCACUUACAAGUGGGAGUUAAACAUUGAAUAUACAUGGACACAAAGAUAGGAACAAUAGACACUGGGUACUAUUUGUGGGGAAAGAAUGGGAAGAGGUUGUGGGUUGGAAGGCUACCUAUUGAGUACUAUGCUCACUACCUGGGUGAUGAGAUCAUUCAUUCACCAAGCCUCAGUGAUUUACCCAUGUGUCAAACGUGUAUAUUAUACCCUCACAAUCUAAAAUAAAAGUAGAAGGAGAAAAAAAUAAACUCUAUAUCACUAUAAGGAACUACAAUCUAUAUGACUAUAAGGAACUGCAAUAAUGAACCACUCCUGCUCCAUAUUUGAGUACCAUACAACAGAUCAAUGGUUAUGUUCAUAGAAAUCAUAGACUAAGAUAUUAUCCAGUCACUGUUCCAACCUGGUGGGUCAGUGCUAAUGUGAUCUGCACAAACAGAUUAGGAAGGCACAGUAGUUUCAUGCCUCUACUUAAUUGAAUAUUAUAUAUUUCCAGAGUAGGAUCAGAUAAUUUUAGGUUUCAUGAGCCAUACAUGCAUCAAAAUCCCACUUUAAUAAAAUUUUUAAUUUUAAGGGCUACAAUUCUCAGUAAAUAAUUACCCUAUUUAUCAAAAUUAUUUAUACAGUGGCUUGAAUGUGAAUGAAGUGUGCCUUAAAAGGCUAGCAAAUUCCCACCUCAUACCAUGUAUAAAAUUAACUGAAAAUGGAUCAUGACCUAAAUGAAAGAUCUAAGACUAUAAAACUCUUAGACUAAAACAUAGUGGUAAAUCUUCAUGACCUUGGGUUUAAUAAAGGAUGCUUAAAUGUGACAGAAAAAAUACAAGCAACAAAAGAAAAAAUAGAUAAAUUGGACUUCAUCAAAAUUUAAAACUUUUGGGCAUCAAUGGACAAUAUUGAGAAAGUGAAGAGAAAAUCCAAAAGUAGGAGAAAAUUCUUUAAACCAUAUAUCUAAUAAAGGUUAAUAUUUCAGAAUAUCUAAAGAACUCUUACAAAUCAACAACAAAAAGACAAGCAGUUGGCCUGGUGUGGUGGCUCAUGCCUGUAAUCCCAGCACUUUGGGAGGCUGAGGUAGGUGGAUCACCUGAAAUCAGAAGUUCGAGACCACCUGACCAAAAUGGUGAAACCCCGUUUCUACUAAAAAAAAAAAAAAAUACAAAAAUUAGCUGGGUGUGGUGGCAUGCACCUGUAGUCCCAGCUACUUGGGAGGCUGAGACAGGAGAACUGCUUGAAUCCAGGAGGCAGAAAUUGCAGUGAGCUGAGAUCGCACCACUGUACUUCAGCCUGGGCAACAGAGCAAGACUUCAUUAAAAAAAAAAAAAAAAGACAAGCAAUUAAUUUAGAAAAUGGCAAAGGGCUUGAAGAGACAUUUCUCCAAAGAUGAUACGCAAAUGGCCAACAAACACAUGCAAAUAUCUUUAACAGAAUUUGGUCAUUACAGAAAUGCACAUCAAAACUACAAUAUGAUAAGACUUCACACCCACCAGGAGAGCUGUAAUUAUCUACAUUGCCCACAUCAUCUUAUCAUCAUUAUUAUUGAAAAAUAACAAGUGUUGGAGAGAAUGUACAAAAAUUUUGACCCUCAUACCUUGUUAGUGAAGCCAUUGUGGAAAAUAGUUUGGCAGCUCCUCAAAACAUAAAAGAUAGAAUUAUUAUAUGACCUAGGAAUUUUUCUCCUAGGUAUAUACCCUAAAGAGUUGAAAACACAGAUACUCAAGCAAAUACUUAUACAUGAAUGUUCAUGGAAACACUUUCAUAAUAGCUAAAUGGUAGAAACAACCCACAUGUGUUACCAGAUAAAUGGAUAAACAAAGUAUGAUAUAUACAUACAAUGGCAUAUUAUUCAGCUACACAAAACAGUGAAGUACUGAUACAUGCUACAACAUGGACGAACCUUGAAAGCAUUAUGCUAAGUGAAGGAAGACAAACUCAACAGGUUACAUGUUUCAUAUUUCCAUUUAUUUGAAAUAUCCAAACUAGUUAAAUUCAUACAGAGAGAAAGCAGGUUCCCAUUUACCGGAAACUGAAACAGGAAGAAAUGGGAGAUGGGGGAGUGAUUGCUCAAUGGAUGCAAGGUUUCCUUUUGGGAUGAUGAAAAUAUUUUGGAACUUGAUAGAUGUGGCGAUUGCCUAACUUUAUGAAUGUAUUAAAUUCCAUUCAAUUAUAUAUUUUGAAAUGAUUAAUUUUAUGUUACAUAGAUUUCACCUCAAUAAAAUGAAAUCAUUCUACCUGUUAUUUCUUUUUUGCACUGGUAAAAUGAAAAGUUUAAAAUACAUAAUGUCCAAUGAAAUUUCCUUUCUGUGUAUAUCAAUUCUAGUUUUGGAUUUCAGUUUGGAUAAUAAAUGUUGUUAAACACACACACAAAUUGCAGCUGAUAAAAAUGAAAAGACUUUCAUACAUGUUAUGAUAGGGAAAUAAAAGUUCUUACUGUUUUUCUGUGGCAAUUAAGUUGUCAUGGGGAUAUGAGUCUGAACCAUAGAAAAGAUCUGCUAUUCAAGAGCACAUUUUCCUUUUUUUAAAAAAUUCUCCUUCCCUGUCUUUCCCG